GUUACUUUGGCAGAAUAGUGCAAGGGAUUUAGAAUCUUUAUAUGUAAUUAAUAUUACAGGUAAUA
rnacentral:tRNA from 2 species